UUGUCCUACGGGGGGCAGCAGUGGGGGAUAUUGCACAAUGGGGGGAACCCUGAUGCAGCGACGCCGCGUGGGUGAAGGAGCGUUUCGGCGCGUAAAGCCCUAUCGGCAGGGAAGAAGAUGACGGUACCUGACUAAGAAGCCCCGGCUAACUACGUGCCAGCAGCCGCGGUAAUACGUAGGGGGCAAGCGUUAUCCGGAUUUACUGGGUGUAAAGGGAGCGUAGACGGCGAUGCAAGCCAGAUGUGAAAGCCCGGGGCUCAACCCCGGGACUGCAUUUGGAACUGUGUGGCUGGAGUGUCGGAGAG
rnacentral:rRNA from 1 species